rnacentral:rRNA from 1 species
UAGCAUAUUAGUAAGCAGAGGAAUUUCAUCAAACUUGGAUUUUGUAAGUAGUGCGAAUGAACACAAACAUGUUCAACCUCAAAAUUGGUGUGCUCCAUGUGUGCACUGACUUGUUUCAGAGUUCAUCACUAUCAAAGCUGCAUGCAAAUGAUUUUUGAAAGGAUACAACAUGGGAUGUGACAUUCAUGUCUGUGUGCUUGCUUUGAUUACAGUGUGUGCUCUAUGAUUCACAUUUCUUGUAACUGAAAUGCAAAUUGCAUGGUAAAGUUCAUGUGAUGUGAUAUGUGUUUGAGAUUCAUGAUGUGCAAGUACCAUGAGGGAAAUGUGAAAAGGACUUUGAAAAGAGAAUUAAACAAAGCCUGCAUUUGCUGAUUGUAAACGUAAGUGAGGAUUGUAAUAGUAAUGUCUCUGCAUCAGUUGACAUGUCUUACGUGUUGUUGUAUGCUUGGCAUUAUGUUCAGCACCACUGAGUGUGCGUACUGGCUUUGAUUGAACUGAUUUCAUGUGGAACUGUUGAAUGAAGAUGCAUGUACACUUGUGUGAAGUAAUGUACGCACCAACUGUGAUCAUGCACUGUUUGCACAUGUUUUCAUGUGCUUCCUUGCUAAUUCUUGAUGUCACUUGGCAUAUUAUAACUACCCUCACUUGACCCGUCUG